AGAGUUUGAUCCUGGCUCAGGAUGAACGCUGGCGGCAUGCCUAAUACAUGCAAGUCGAACGAGGGUCCUUCGGGACUCGAGUGGCGAACGGGUGAGUAACACGUAGGGAACCUGCCCGUGCGACCGGGAGAACUUUCGGAAACGGAAGCUGAUACCGGAUAGGGACAGAGACGGCAUCGACUCUGUGUUAAAGGAGCUGAAAGGCUCCGCGCACGGAUGGACCUGCGGUGCAUUAGCUGGUUGGUGAGGUAACGGCCCACCAAGGCGACGAUGCAUAGCCGGCCUGAGAGGGCGGACGGCCACACUGGGACUGAGACACGGCCCAGACUCCUACGGGAGGCAGCAGUAGGGAAUUUUCGUCAAUGGGCGCAAGCCUGAACGAGCAAUGCCGCGUGAACGAGGAAGGUCUUCGGAUCGUAAAGUUCUGUUGAAGGGGAAAAAGAGCGGAGAGAGGAAAUGGUCUCCGAUUGAUAUUACCCUUCGAGGAAGUCACGGCUAACUACGUGCCAGCAGCCGCGGUAAUACGUAGGUGGCGAGCGUUAUCCGGAAUGAUUGGGCGUAAAGGGUGCGUAGGCGGCCUGCUAAGUCUGGAGUGAAAGGUACCGGCUCAACCGGUAUAGGCUCUGGAAACUGGCGGGCUAGAGAGCAGGAGAGGGCGGUGGAACUCCAUGUGUAGCGGUAAAAUGCGUAGAUAUAUGGAAGAACACCAGUGGCGAAGGCGGCCGCCUGGCCUGUUACUGACGCUGAGGCACGAAAGCGUGGGGAGCAAAUAGGAUUAGAUACCCUAGUAGUCCACGCCGUAAACGAUGAGGACCAAGUGUUGGGGAAGACCCAGUGCUGCAGUUAACGCAGUGAGUCCUCCGCCUGGGGAGUAUGCACGCAAGUGUGAAACUCAAAGGAAUUGACGGGGGCCCGCACAAGCGGUGGAGUAUGUGGUUUAAUUCGGAGCAACGCGAAGAACCUUACCAGGCCUUGACAUAGGGUGCGAAGGUAUAGAGAUAUACUGGAGGUAAACAUCCAUACAGGUGGUGCAUGGUUGUCGUCAGCUCGUGUCGUGAGAUGUUCAGUUAAGUCUGGCAACGAGCGCAACCCUCGUGAUGUGUUACCAAUAUCGAGUUAGGGACUCACAUCAGACUGCCGGUGAGAAACCGGAGGAAGGCGGGGAUGACGUCAAAUCAUCAUGCCCCUUAUGGCCUGGGCUACACACGUACUACAAUGGCGGCGACAGAGGGCAGCGAGCCUGCGAAGGCAAGCGAAUCCCCAAAAAGCCGUCCCAGUUCGGAUUGGAGUCUGCAACCCGACUCCAUGAAGUUGGAAUCGCUAGUAAUCGCGGAUCAGCAUGCCGCGGUGAAUACGUUCUCGGGCCUUGCACACACCGCCCG
rnacentral:rRNA from 1 species